rnacentral:rRNA from 1 species
GUAGGAGGCUAGCGUUAUCCGGAUUCACUGGGCGUAAAGCGCGUGCAGGCGGCUCGGUAAGUUGGGCGUGAAAUCUCCUGGCUUAACUGGGAGAGGUCGUCCAAUACUACCGGGCUUGAGAGCAGUAGAGGAAGAUGGAAUUCCCGGUGUAGUGGUGAAAUGCGUAGCAUAUCGGGAGGAACACCAGUGGCGAAGGCGAUCUUCUGGACUGUUUCUGACGCUCAGACGCGAAAGCUAGGGUAGUAAACGGGAUUAGAUACCCUGGUAGUCCUAGCUGUAAACGGUGGGCACUAGGUGUAGGAGGCAUCGACCCCUCCUGUGCCGCAGCUAACGCAUUAAGUGCCCCGCCUGGGGAGUACGACCGCAAGGUUGG